UACGAAGGGUGCAAGCGUUACUCGGAAUUACUGGGCGUAGAGCGUGCGUAGGUGGUUUGUUAAGUCUGAUGUGAAAGCCCUGGGCUCAACCUGGGAAUUGCAUUGGAUACUGGCAGGCUAGAGUGCGGGAGAGGGAUGCAGAAUUCCGAGGUGAUAGCGGUGAAAUGCGUAGAUAUCUGGAGGAAUACCGGUGGCGAAGGCGGCAUCCUGGACCGACAUUGAACGCGUGAGGAGGCGAAAGCUAGGGGAGCAAACGGG
rnacentral:rRNA from 1 species